rnacentral:rRNA from 1 species
CCUACGGGCGGCAGCAGUGGGGGAUAUUGCACAAUGGGGGAAACCCUGAUGCAGCGACGCCGCGUGUGGGAAGACGGUCCUCUGGAUUGUAAACCACUGUCCCCAGGGACGAAGAUGACGGUACCUGGGGAGGAAGCUCUGGCUAACUACGUGCCAGCAGCCGCGGUAAUACGUAGGGAGCGAGCGUUGUCCGGAAUGACUGGGUGUAAAGGGAGCGUAGGCGGGGAUGCAAGUUUGGUGUAAAAACUACCGGCUCAACUGGUAGUCGCACUCAAAACUGCAGCUCUUGAGUGAAGGAGAGGUAGGCGGAAUUCCUAGUGUAGCGGUGAAAUGCGUAGAUAUUAGGCGGAACACCAGUGGCGAAGGCGGCCUACUGGGCUUUUACUGACGCUGAGGCUCGAAAGUGUGGGGAGCAAACAGGAUUAGAUACCCUGGUAGUC